UACGUAGGGGGCAAGCGUUGUCCGGAAUCAUUGGGCGUAAAGCGCGUGUAGGCGGUCCGGUAAGUCCGCUGUGAAAGUCGGGGGCUUAACCCUCGGAUGCCGGUGGAUACUGUCGGGCUUGAGUACGGAAGAGGCGAGUGGAAUUCCUGGUGUAGCGGUGAAAUGCGUAGAGAUCCGGAAGAACACCGGUGGCGAAGGCGGCCUGCUGGGCAGUUUAGCUGACACUGAGGCGCGACAGCGUGGGGAGCAAACAGG
rnacentral:rRNA from 1 species